rnacentral:rRNA from 1 species
UGAUCCUGCCAGUAGUCAUAUGCUUGUCUCAAAGAUUAAGCCAUGCAUGUCUCAGUACAAGCCAAAUUAAGGUGAAACCGCGAAAGGCUCAUUAAAUCAGUUAUGGUUCCUUAGAUCGUACCCACAAUUACUUGGAUAACUGUGGUAAUUCUAGAGCUAAUACAUGCAGACCGAGCUCCGACCGGAGACGGAAGGAGUGCUUUUAUUAGAACAAAACCAAUCGGUGGCGGGCGCGUUCGCGCGUUCGUCAUCGUACAAUUUGGUGACUCUGAAUAACUUUUAGCUGAUCGCACGGUCAUCGAACCGGCGACGCAUCUUUCAAAUGUCUGACUUAUCAACUGUCGAUGGUAGGUUCUGCGCCUACCAUGGUCGUAACGGGUAACGGGGAAUCAGGGUUCGAUUCCGGAGAGGGAGCCUGAGAAACGGCUACCACAUCCAAGGAAGGCAGCAGGCGCGCAAAUUACCCACUCCCGGCACGGGGAGGUAGUGACGAAAAAUAACGAUACGGGACUCAUCCGAGGCCCCGUAAUCGGAAUGAGUACACUCUAAACUCUUUAACGAGGAUCAAUUGGAGGGCAAGUCUGGUGCCAGCAGCCGCGGUAAUUCCAGCUCCAAUAGCGUAU